GAUGAACGCUGGCGGCGUGCCUAAUACAUGCAAGUCGAGCGAACGGACGAGAAGCUUGCUUUUCUGAUGUUAGCGGCGGACGGGUGAGUAACACGUGGAUAACCUACCUAUAAGACUGGGAUAACUUCGGGAAACCGGAGCUAAUACCGGAUAAUAUUUUGAACCGCAUGGUUCAAAAGUGAAAGACGGUCUUGCUGUCACUUAUAGAUGGAUCCGCGCUGCAUUAGCUAGUUGGUAAGGUAACGGCUUACCAAGGCAACGAUGCAUAGCCGACCUGAGAGGGUGAUCGGCCACACUAGAGCUGAGACACGGUCCAGACUCCUACGGGAGGCAGCAGUAGGGAAUCUUCCGCAAUGGGCGAAAGCCUGACGGAGCAACGCCGCGUGAGUGAUGAGGGUCUUCGGAUCGUAAAACACUGUUAUUAGGGAGGAACAUAUGUGUAAGUAACUGUGCACAGCUUGACGGUACCUAAUCGGAAAGCCACGGCUAACUACGUG
rnacentral:rRNA from 1 species